rnacentral:rRNA from 1 species
AACGUAGGAGACAAACGUUAUCCAGAGUUACUGGGCGUAAAGGGCGUGUAGGCGGUACGUUAAGUCUGGCGUGAAAGCUCUCGGCUAAACCGGGAGAGGUCGUUGGAUACUGGCAAACUAGAGGACGGUAGAGGCGUGUGGAAUUCCGGGUGUAGUGGUGAAAUGCGUAGAGAUCCGGAGGAACACCAGUGGCGAAGGCGACACGCUGGGCCGUACCUGACGCUAAAGCGCGACAGCAUGGGGAGCAAACGGG